rnacentral:rRNA from 1 species
AGAGUUUGAUCAUGGCUCAGGACGAACGCUGGCGGCGUGCUUAACACAUGCAAGUCGAACGAUGAAAGCAGGAGCUUGCUUCUGCUGGAUUAGUGGCGAACGGGUGAGUAACACGUGAGUAACCUGCCCUUGACUCUGGGAUAAGCGUUGGAAACGACGUCUAAUACCGGAUACGAGCUAGGACCGCAUGGUCACUAGUUGGAAAGAAUUUUGGUCAAGGAUGGACUCGCGGCCUAUCAGCUAGUUGGUGAGGUAACGGCCCACCAAGGCGACGACGGGUAGCCGGCCUGAGAGGGUGACCGGCCACACUGGGACUGAGACACGGCCCAGACUCCUACGGGAGGCAGCAGUGGGGAAUAUUGCACAAUGGGCGAAAGCCUGAUGCAGCAACGCCGCGUGAGGGACGACGGCCUUCGGGUUGUAAACCUCUUUUAGCAGGGAAGAAGCGAAAGUGACGGUACCUGCAGAAAAAGCACCGGCUAACUACGUGCCAGCAGCCGCGGUAAUACGUAGGGUGCAAGCGUUGUCCGGAAUUAUUGGGCGUAAAGAGCUCGUAGGCGGUUUGUCGCGUCUGCUGUGAAAAUCCGAGGCUCAACCUCGGACCUGCAGUGGGUACGGGCAAACUAGAGUGCGGUAGGGGAGAUUGGAAUUCCUGGUGUAGCGGUGGAAUGCGCG